rnacentral:lncRNA from 1 species
UUUUUUUUUUUUUUUUUUUUUUUUUUUGAGACAGAGUCUUGCUCUGUCGCCCAGGCUGGAGUGCAGUGUGAUGAUCUCAGCUCACUGCAACCUCCAUCUCCCAGGUUCAAGCGAUUCUCCUGCCUCAGCCUCCCAAGUAGCUGGGACUACACGCAUACACCACCACACCCAGCUAAUUUUUGUAUUUUUAGUAGAGAUGUGGGGUUUCACCAUGUUGGCCAGGCUGGUCUCGAACUCCUGACCUCAAAUGAUCCACCCACCUCUGCCUCCCAAAGUGCUGGGAUUACAGGCGUGAGCCAUCACACCCAGCCCAGCAAGAAACCAUCUUAAAAGCAAUCUAUGCUCACUGUCAUGCAUUCCUCUCAUUUCUUUCUCUUUAAACUGCUCCAGGUAAGCUUUCACCUGCCACUACAUCACCACCACCAUUCUCCAAGUCACCGGUGAAUGGCCUCCAUUUGGCUAAAUUCAAAGACUGGUUCUCAGCCUUUUCAUACUUGAGCUCCCUGCAGCAGUAACACAGUUGAACACCCGCUCUUCCUCGUGAGACUUCCACUGGCUUCUAGGAUGCUGCCAUCUUUUAGUUUUUCUCCUUCACUGGUCACUUCCUUCUUAGUCCUUAUCUUCCACCUAAUCUGUUAACUUUGGAACACCCCAGAGCUUAGCCCUUGGUCCUCUUCUCUACCUACACUCACUUUCUUGAUGACCUCAUGCAGUCUUGAGGCUCAGAUGCCUUUAUCUGCUGUGGGCCUCCAGUUGUACCUCUCCAACUUGAAACUCUCACAAGUCCCACUCAUAUAUCCAGCUGCCAAAUUGAUAUCUCACUUGGAUGUGUCAGGUACCCAGUCUCAAAAGUUAACAAGUCCAAAACAGAAUUCCUCAUUUUCACCCUCCCAUACCUGCAUCACAUGUAGCCUUCCCCAGCUCAGCUCAUGGCAACUCCAUGCUUCCUGUUACUCAGGCCAAAAACUUUGGAGUUAUCCUUCGUUCCUCUCUUUCUCCUGCAUCACACACUCAACAAAUCUCUGUUGACUCCAAAAUAUAUCCAGAAUCUGCCCAUUUCUUGUCACCUCCACUGCUAACAUUCCACCCUGAGCUGCCAUCUUUCAUGCCUAUUUCAUUCUUGUCUUUUUGCAGUUCAUUCUCAACACAGCAGCCAGGAAAUUUUUGGUAAAAUGGAAGUCAAAUUAUGUCUCUGCUCUGCUCAAACCUCACACCCUGGUGGCUCCUCCAUCUAAUUUUUAAGAUGUGUCAGAGUGGGCUAUGCCACUGAACACUUAGUAAUGGGCUGAUGUUUAUUAGCCACAAAAAAAGGAUGGUCGAACAUGUCUGUUCGUUCAGGCAGCACACACUUACUGAGCCCUGAGCCCCACAUCAGGACUACAGAGAACAUUAAAACCUGUGCCACACAGGGGUUCCCAGCCUCAUGAGGAUGAUGAGCUGUGGGGAUCUGUGCAUUAAGAGGAAUGCUCUGACCUGGAGGAGCUCCCAUAAAUCUUGGUCCCUUAUAAUCCUUGUACUCAGUAGAUGAAGAGGGUGUUCAUUGACCAGAUGAAGAUUUUAGCCACAUUUUGGGCCCACUACUUCCAUUACUUUUGAAGAUUGAAGGUUUCCCUUUCUCAAGGAUCCCAGAUUCCCAGGUCCAUACCAGGACUAUUUUAAGGUCCUCUUUCAUCUCCGCACACUUCUAAAGAGGCUGUGAACCGAAGUUCCCAUGUGUCACAGAUGUCAGCAUUGUCAUCACCCAGGAGCUUUCUGGAAAUGCAGAGUUUUGGGCCCUGUCCCAACCUGCUGAGUCAGGAUCUGCAUC